rnacentral:rRNA from 1 species
ACUUGAAUUGAAGAGUUUGAUCAUGGCUCAGAUUGAACGCUGGCGGCAGGCUUAACACAUGCAAGUCGAACGGUAGCAGGAGGAAGCUUGCUUUCUUGCUGACGAGUGGCGGACGGGUGAGUAAUGCUUGGGAAUCUGGCUUAUGGAGGGGGAUAACGACGGGAAACUGUCGCUAAUACCGCGU